AGUGAACGCUGGCGGUAGGCCUAACACAUGCAAGUCGAACGGCAGCACAGGAGAGCUUGCUCUCUGGGUGGCGAGUGGCGGACGGGUGAGGAAUACAUCGGAAUCUACUCUGUCGUGGGGGAUAACGUAGGGAAACUUACGCUAAUACCGCAUACGACCUACGGGUGAAAGCAGGGGACCUUCGGGCCUUGCGCGAUUGAAUGAGCCGAUGUCGGAUUAGCUAGUUGGCGGGGUAAAGGCCCACCAAGGCGACGAUCCGUAGCUGGUCUGAGAGGAUGAUCAGCCACACUGGAAAUGAGACACGGUCCAGACUCCUACGGGAGGCAGCAGUGGGGAAUAUUGGACAAUGGGCGCAAGCCUGAUCCAGCCAUACCGCGUGGGUGAAGAAGGCCUUCGGGUUGUAAGGCCCUUUUGUUGGGAAAGAAAUCCAGCUGGCUAAUACCCGGUUGGGAUGACGGUACCCAAAGAAUAAGCACCGGCUAACUUCGUGCCAGCCGCCGCGGUAA
rnacentral:rRNA from 1 species